GGCUAACUUGCACCAUGCAAGCUGGCAGUCAGGUGCCUCGGCUGACUGUGAAGUGACCGCUGUAGGGUGAGAGCCGGGGCUGGAGAGGCUGCCGGAGCCCAGCGCCGCAGCCUGGGAAUUCAGUCCCUGCAGCUCAGAACCUCACCAGGACGCGGUCCGCACCCACGCUGGGGUCCAGGGCUGAAUUCUGCACGUGCAGCUCGGGGCAAGAGGACAAUGCGGCCCCAGCCUCUGGGUCCAGAUGUCCCCAAGUUACACCAACAGACUGGUACCUAAGUAGACUCCAUCGAUAACAGCUGGAAAUGCAGAUGGCUGGUUUUAAUUUCUAAA